rnacentral:lncRNA from 1 species
UUUUUUUUAGAUUUAAUUAUGUUUUUAAUUCAAUUUUAUCUUGUGUUAUUAAUUUUAUUUUAAAUGUUAAACUUUAGCUUUCAUUUGAAUUUAAAAAUUAAGCUUCUUUUUUAAAUUAAAUUUAAGAAUCAUAAGAAAAAAAAUAUCUUAACCCCUCCACUCACAAGAGGCCGUGUGACAUCUCUCUUUCCAUCUUUAUGAAAUAAAAAAAAGGAUAAGAAAAAAUAGGAUGAGUUUUCGGUUACGUGAAUCAUAUUCAAGCAACCACAUAAAUGACUCACCUUUAAAAAAAA